rnacentral:rRNA from 1 species
ACGAACGCUUGCGGCGUGCCUAAGAAAUGCAAGUCGAACGGGGGGGUAGCAAUACCCUAGUGGCGAACGGUCGCGUAACACGUAGGCAACCUGCCCUGAAGUGGGGGACAACAGACCGAAAGGUCUGCUAAUACCGCAUGUGGCCGGUGGGGGGCAUCCCCUGCUGUCUAAAGGAUUUAUUCGCUUCAGGAUGGGCUUGCGGCCUAUCAGGUAGUUGGUGAGGUAACGGCUCACCAAGCCGACGACGGGUAGCUGGGUCUGAGAGGACGAUCAGCCGGAUUGGGACUGAGAUACGGCCCAGACUCCUACGGGGGGCAGCAAUUAGGAAUCUUGCGCAAUGGGGGGCAACCCUGACGCAGCGACGGCCGCGUGCGGGAUGAAGGCAUUCGUGUCGUAAACCGCUUUUGCCGGGGAAGAAGGAUGUGACGGUACCCGGUGAAUAAGCCCCGGCUAACUACGGUGCCAGCCAGCCGCGGUAAUACGUAGGGGGGCGAGCGUUGUCCGAAGUUACUGGGCGUAAAGCGCGCGUUAGGCGGCCGAUUAAGUCUGGGGUGAAAGGUUCAGCGCUCAACGCGAAACAGUGCCCUGGAUACUGGUUGGCUUGGGUUCGGGAGGGGAGAGCGGAAUUCCUGGUGUAGCGGUGAAAUGCGUAGAUAUCAGGAGGAACACCGGUGGCGAAGGCGGCUCUCUGGCCUAGGACCGACGCUGAGGCGCGAAAGCGUGGGGAGCGAACGGGAUUAGAUACCCCCGGUAGUCCACGCCGUAAACGAUGAGUGCUAGGUGUUCGGGGUAUCGACCCCCCGGGGUGCCGCCGCCAACGCAGUAAGCACUCCGCCUGGGGAGUACGGCCCGCAAGGUUGAAACUCAAAGGAAUUGACGGGGGCCCCGCAACAAGCGGUGGAGCAUGUGGAUUAAUUCGUCACUAAACCGAAGAACCUUACCCAGGCUUGACAAUCGCGUGAAAGCCGGUGAAAGCCGGUCCCUCCGCAAGGAGCACAAAGAACAGGUGUUGCAUGGCUGUCGUCAGCUCGUGUCGUGAGAUGUUGGGUUAAGUCCCGCAACGAGCGCAACCCUCACCGUAUGUUGCCAGCGUAAAGUUCGGGAACUCUUACGGAACUGCCCGUGCAAGCGGGAGGAAGGUGGGGAUGACGUCAAGUCGGCAUGGCCCUUACGCCUGGGGGCUUCACACAUGCUACAAUGGGCGGCGACAGAAGCGUUUCCGAUCCCGUGAGGGGGAGGCAAUCGCAGAAAUCCGUCCUCAGUUCGGAUUGCAGGCUGCAACUCGCCUGCAUGAAGCUGGAAUCGCUAGUAACCGCCGGUCAGCUAAACGGCGGUGAAUACGUUCCCGGGCCUUGUACACACCGCCCCGUCAAGUCACCUGAAUUGUCUGCCACCCGAAGCCGGUGGCCUAACCGUAAGGAAGGAGCCGUCUAAGGUGUGGGGAGUAAGGGGGACU